UACGUAGGGGGCAAGCGUUGUCCGGAAUUAUUGGGCGUAAAGAGCUUGUAGGCGGUUUGUCGCGUCUGCCGUGAAAUUUCGGGGCUCAACCCCGAACUUGCGGUGGGUACGGGCAGACUAGAGUGUGGUAGGGGAGACUGGAAUUCCUGGUGUAGCGGUGAAAUGCGCAGAUAUCAGGAGGAACACCGAUGGCGAAGGCAGGUCUCUGGGCCACUACUGACGCUGAGAAGCGAAAGCAUGGGGAGCGAACAGG
rnacentral:rRNA from 1 species